AUUGUGUUUCAUGUUGUAAGUUUCUAGGUAAACGAAUUGUGUUUCAUGUUGUACGUUUCUAGGUAAACGAAUUGUGUUUCAUGUUGUACGUUUCUAGGUAAACAAAUUGUGUUUCAUGUUGUACAUUUCUAGGUGAAUGACACUGUGUACUACUUGCUUAUAGCAAACCAGAGGAAUUAUCCAGUUAAGAAGCAGGAUAUUGUGAAGAAUGUUUUGAAGGAGAAGU